CGGGCGCUGGGCCGCACGCGACCCGGCUCCGGCGCGGCUGGCUGGGUCCGGGCCGCGGACGGGGCCCGCUGCGGAGGCUGAGCGCCGGCGCGCAUCUCCCGGACCCCGAGGAGACCCCCGAGGGCUCGGCACGCUCGGCCGCCGCCUCCGGGCGCGGUGGCUGGAACUGCCGCCCGCGCCGCCGCGCUUCUCUCCGAAACUCGGGCAGGAACUUGUCCCCGUCCUCCCAGCGCUCAGGGACUCCUGUGCUGGGCGCGACAGGAGAAUGCAAGCUUCAUGAAAUCAGGAAUUUCUCUCAUGUUCAGUGAUGUCUCCUUGGUGGCUGAAAUACUGGACUAGCGUGUGGUGCAGAGUGGAUGCCCAGUGUUUCUUAAAUGAAUGUGUGAUUCUUCUCUCGGUGUCUCAGUUUCUUUUCAUGUUGCUAUCAUAAAAUAUCCUGACAAAAGCAACUGAAGGAGAAAGGAUUUGUUGUAACUCACAACUCAAGAAUGAUGGGCCUGUUUGAGAAACAUCCUGAAAGAGAUCUGUAAUACAUGCAUGGUUCUCAGAUGAGACCUGCGCAUGGCAGAUUGAACAUGCACUCCACAGAGGUUAAAACUCAGAAGCCUAUGUGGUGGCUAUGUCUGUCAUCCCAAUGCCUUGCAAGUGAAGAUAGGAGGAUCAGGAGUUCAAGAUCACCUUCAGCUAUAUAGUAAGUUUGAGGCCAGCCUGGGCUACAUGAGGCCCUGUCUCAAAAAUGAAGAAAUUUACUCCAAGAAAAAUCAAGAUUUAGAAGGCAUCAGGUCACCUUCAGACAUUGCUCUAGCCUGACUACCCAGAGAAGCAAACCAAGGAAAUAACAGGACAGGAAUAUGUAUCAGUGAGAAACAAGUGUGAGCCAUGAGCAGGAAUUUUGAAUUAAUAGAACUUACCCAGAGGAUUUUAACAGUUACUCGUGAAGGAUGAGGCCAAAUUAAGAGCUGAGGAGGAGAGUGCAGCUGGUGGAAGCAAGGGGGCUAACCUUGUCAAACCCACUCACGCUAGCUGUGCGUCUUGUUACCUUUAAAACUCAUGGCAAAGGAUUGCUGUCUUUUUUAAAACAGAGAUUAAUACUCCAUGUUUCAUUUGCCUGUGAGUCCUCUGCUAAUACCUGGCAAGCCAAUUUCAAUCUAGAAAUUUCUGAGUCAAAGCUUACUCCUUUUUCUACUCCCACAGUCCCAUUCUGAGUUCUAUGAGUUAAUGUGCCUUUUGAAUGCUUGAUUAAAAGCUCCUCUCCUUUUCCUUUUCUCCCCAUCUAGAGAUGGCUUGUUUCUCCAACUUAACAACCUUUCUCCUCUCUCACUUAAGGGGAGAUAAGAACUUGAGCCCAAUAAAGUUGUUUUCUUCUGCUCAAUUGUAGAAAUCUUACCCAGAGUUCGGUCCUAAUGCAAACAAACUUUUCUUCUCUUGAUUGUAAACUGCUAAGUUCACACAUUUGUUGAAAUUUUAUUGAUUAACUUGAUAUUAUCCAUUGAGCCAAACUGAUCAGAGGAUUGAGUAGCAUGGAUAUCAAUAUGACUUGUGUAUUUCUGCCUCAUGUCCAUGAACCACUACUUGAUGCUGGAUAUACUGUACCCUAAGGAGAUAGAGUCUGUUGCUUACAAGUUGUCCUGUGUUCUCAAUGAAUAACAAAUGAGCUGCAUCAGCUGCAUUUUCUUCAACUUUCCCCCCUCAGGAGCCUAGAAUUUUCUACUUCCCCAGACCAUGGCAUUUCCCUCCAGACAACUAAUAAUCAUAUUGAUAAAUCUAUCCUUUGGCCCACCCAUCCUCUUUCCCUUUAGGGUAGUCCCCAGUCCCUAAGCCAUCAUCUACAACCAGGAGCUCAGGCUGUCUGUGAGCUGGGCUCCAUCAGCGCACAAACAUGGCCCUGUGGUCUGUCAUUAUCAGGAAGAACAAACCAGAAAGUAUUGAACUUAUGUUCAGUCAAGUCUGAUCACACUGUCUUUCUCUUAUUAGUUUAUCAAUCACUUUUAGUUUAAACCAGUUGCCUAGAAACAUUUUUGUUGUUAUUUUGAGGCAGGGUUUCUCUAUGUUUCUCUGGCUGUCCUAGAACAUGCUAUGUAGAUCAGGCUGGUCUCAAACUCACAGAGAUCUGCCUGCCUCUGUCUUUAAUGCUGUUAUGAAAAAU